ACUAAAAUAGCUUAUUUAGAGUAUAACUUUGAAGGUGUUAUGGAGAUUAUUCUUUUGGUA
rnacentral:tRNA from 1 species